rnacentral:misc_RNA from 1 species
GAUGAAGAACGUAGCGAAAUGCGAUAAGUAGUGUGAAUUGCAGAAUUCAGUGAAUCAUCGAAUCUUUGAACGCACAUUGCGCCCCUUGGUAUUCCAUGGGGCAUGCCUGUUCGAGCGUCAUUUGUACCUUCAAGCUUUGCUUGGUGUUGGGUGUUUGUCCUGAGGGACUCGCCUUAAAGUAAUUGGCAGCCAGUGUUUUGGUUUUGAAGCGCAGCACAAGUCGCGAUUCAAGGCUAUACGCAAGCUUCCACAAGCCUUUUUCACUUUUGACCUCGGAUCAGGUAGGGAUACCCGCUGAACUUAAGCAUAUCAAUAAGCGGAGGA